rnacentral:rRNA from 1 species
CGGAGGACGGUAGCAAUACCGAGCCGAGCGGCGAACGGGUGAGUAACGCGUAAGCAAUCUGCCCUGCAAUAGGGGAUAACCAUUCCAACGGAUGGCUAAUACCGUAUAUCGUGGCGCCUCGCCUGAGGUGUUGACGAAAGAUUUAUCGUUGCAGGAUGAGCUUGCGUCCGAUUAGCUAGUUGGCGGGGUAACGGCCCCACCAAGGCGACGAUCGGGUAUCCGGCCUGAGAGGGUGAUCGGACACAUUGGGACUGAGAUACGGCCCAGACUCCUACGGGAGGCAGCAGUAGGGAAUAUUGCGCAAUGGGGGCAACCCUGACGCAGCAACGCCACGUGUGGGAAGAAGCAUUUCGGUGUGUAAACCACUGUCGAGAGGGAAUAAACGGGGGCUUCGGCCCCUCUGAAUGUACCUCUAAAGGAAGCACCGGCAAACUUCGUGCCAGCAGCCGCGGUAAUACGAGGGGUGCAAGCGUUGUUCGGAAUCACUGGGCGUAAAGGGAGCGUAGGUGGAAUUGCAAGUGGACCGUGCAAUCCCGGGGCC